rnacentral:rRNA from 1 species
UACGUAGGGGCAAGCGUUAUCCGGAUUUACUGGGUGUAAAGGGAGCGCAGACGGAACUGCAAGUCUGAUGUGAAAGCCCGGGGCUCAACCGCGGGACUGCAUCGGAUACUGUGGAUCUGGAGUGCCGGAGGGGCAAGCGGAAUUCCUGGUGUAGCGGUGAAAUGCGUAGAUAUCAGGAGGAACACCGGCGGCGAAGGCGGCUUGCUGGACGGCAACUGACGUUGAGGCUCGAAAGCGUGGGGAGCAAGCAGGAUUAGAUACCCCU